rnacentral:lncRNA from 1 species
AAAACCACUAUUAACGGCAAUGAUUAUAUGUUGCGAUAAUAAUUUUCCUUCUUGUAGUUGAAACUUCAGAAGACAUCCAGAAAGCAUGGGAAGUGAUAAGGAAGAUUAUGAUACGGCUGAACACACUGACAGAGCAGUGGCAAGGGCAGUAUCUGACUGUCCACAGUCCCUAGGACUUGAGGAAAAACAAACUUGCCUUAAUGGACACCAACGAAGGACGGAGUUGCUGUUCCCUUGAAGUAAAUGCAUUUAUUUACAGAGAAAUACAACAUGCAUUUAGUCUUCUUCCCUUUAUAAUUCUUAAAUAUUUUUUGUUUUCAGCUCCUGAUGCUUCGACCUAAAGACAGGGCAUAUGGAACAAACAAUAAUAACAAAUAAUACAAAUAAAAACUCAUUUGACUUGAUGGGAAAGGCUGUUAAAGCCUACAUCAGACUACAAAUGUGUAAUUCCUUAAAUAUUGUAAAACACAACUUGAACACAUAUUUAAGUACUGUAAUUAAUUAAAAUACCAACUUGCACAGACAAUAGCAUUGUAAUGUUUCCAACACGUUAUUACAUAAAAUGUAUAUUUCUUGAUUUAGCAUGAAAUGGAGGAAUCUAACAUUAUUUUGGGGAACAUACACAAGUUUUCUGUAGUCUCCUCUCAGUAAGAAAUUGUUCAGUGGAUAUGUUGUCUUGUAGAAACAUAUUGUCGCCGCUAGGGGGUGAUCUUUAUACAUUUACGUUUCACAAUUUCACUGUUUGUGGAGGGUAAAUAUUGCUGCUGUGGAGUCCAGGC